rnacentral:rRNA from 1 species
CUACGGGGGGCUGCAGUGGGGAAUAUUGCACAAUGGAGGAAACUCUGAUGCAGCAACGCCGCGUGGAGGAUGACACUUUUCGGAGCGUAAACUCCUUUUAUAUAGGAAGAAGAUGACGGUACUAUAUGAAUAAGCGCCGGCUAACUCCGUGCCAGCAGCCGCGGUAAUACGGAGGGCGCAAGCGUUACUCGGAAUCACUGGGCGUAAAGAGCAUGUAGGCGGAUUUAAAAGUCAGAAGUGAAAUCCUAUAGCUUAACUAUAGAACUGCUUCUGAAACUCUUAAUCUAGAAUAUGGGAGAGGUAAAUGGAAUUUCUGGUGUAGGGGUAAAAUCCGUAGAGAUCAGAAGGAAUACCGAUUGCGAAGGCGAUCUACUAGAACAUUAUUGACGCUGAGACGCGAAAGCGUGGGGAGCAAACAGGAUUAGAUACCCUAGUAGUC